rnacentral:rRNA from 1 species
GAUGAACGCUGGCGGCGUGCCUAAUACAUGCAAGUCGAGCGAACAGACGAGGAGCUUGCUCCUCUGACGUUAGCGGCGGACGGGUGAGUAACACGUGUAUAACCUACCUAUAAGACUGGGAUAACUUCGGGAAACCGGAGCUAAUACCGGAUAAUAUAUUGAACCGCAUGGUUCAAUAGUAAAAUACGGUUUUGCUGUCACUAAUAGAUGGAUCCGCGCCGCAUUAGCUAGUUGGUAAGGUAACGGCUUACCAAGGCAAGGAUGCGUAGCCGACCUGAGAGGGUGAUCGGCCACACUGGAACGGAGACACGGUCCAGACUCCUACGGGAGGCAGCAGUAGGGAAUCUGACGCAAUGGGCGAAAGCCUGACGGAGCAACGCCGCGUGAGUGAUGAAGGUCUUCGGAUCGUAAAACUCUGUUAUUAGGGAAGAACAAAUGUGGAAGUAACCAUGCACGUCUUGACGGUACCUAAUAAGAAAGCAACGGCUAACUACGUG